rnacentral:rRNA from 1 species
UACAGAGGUCUCAAGCGUUGUUCGGAUUCAUUGGGCGUAAAGGGUGUGUAGGUGGCGCGCUAAGUCGGGUGUGAAAUUUCGGAGCUUAACUCCGAAACUGCAUUCGAUACUGGAGUGCUUGAGGACUGGAGAGGAGACUGGAAUUUACGGUGUAGCAGUGAAAUGCGUAGAUAUCGUAAGGAAGACCAGUGGCGAAGGCGGGUCUCUGGACAGUUCCUGACACUGAGACACGAAGGCCAGGGGAGCAAACGGG